AGGGACAUAGCUCAGCAGGUAGAGCAUCUGGCUUAUAUCCAGCGCGCCACCGGUUCGAAUCCGGUUGUCCCUA
rnacentral:tRNA from 1 species